GCUGGGCGUGGUGGCGUGCACCUGUAAUCCCAGCUACUCAGGAGGCUGAGGCAGGAGAAUCGCUUGAACCCAGGAGGCGGGGGUUGCAGUGAGCCGAGAUCACACCAUUGCACUCCAGCCUGGAUGACAGAGCGAGACUCUGUCUCAA
rnacentral:SRP_RNA from 2 species